UUGAGCGGAGAUAUAUGGAGCUUGCUUUAUAUAACUUAGCAGCGAACGGGUGAGUAACACGUAGAUAAUCUAUCCUAUACUGGGGGAUAGCCCGAUGAAAGUUGGAUUAAUACCGCAUAUAGCUAUAUAGUUGCAUGAUUAUGUAGUGAAAGAUUUAUUGGUAUAGGAGGAGUCUGCGGCACAUUAGCUAGUAGGUGAGGUAAAGGCUUACCUAGGCGACGAUGUGUAGCCGGUCUGAGAGGAUGAACGGCCACAAUGGAACUGAGACACGGUCCAUACUCCUACGGGAGGCAGCAGUGGGGAAUAUUGCACAAUGGGGGAAACCCUGAUGCAGCAACGCCGCGUGAGUGAAGAAGGUUUUCGGAUUGUAAAGCUCUGUUAGCAGGGAAGAGGAAGGACGGUACCUGCAGAGGAAGCCACGGCUAACUACGUGCCAGCAGCCGCGGUAAUACGUAGGUGGCAAGCGUUGUUCGGAAUAACUGGGCGUAAAGGAUGCGUAGGCGGUUAAACAAGUUAUAUGUUAAAUAUAUAGGCUUAACCUGUAGAAAGCAUAUAAAACUGUUUAACUAGAGUGCAGGAGAGGUAAGUGGAAUUCCUAGUGUAGCGGUGAAAUGCGUAGAGAUUAGGAAGAACACCAGUGGCGAAGGCGACUUACUGGACUGUAACUGACGCUGAGGCAUGAGAGCAUGGGGAGCAAACAGGAUUAGAUACCCCUGGUAGUCCAUGCUGUAAACGAUGGGUACUAGGUGUGGGUUGUGAAUAACAAUUCGUGCCGUCGCAAACGCAAUAAGUACCC
rnacentral:rRNA from 1 species